rnacentral:rRNA from 1 species
CAAUAGCGUAUAUUAAAGUUGUUGCAGUUAAAAAGCUCGUAGUUGAAUUUUUGCUUGCCGCCGAUGUCGGAACUUCCGUACGUUCGGCGGCGUGCAUCCUUGGGUGGAACCUGUGUGGCAUUAGGUUGUCGUGCAGGGGAUGCUCAUCGUUUACUGUGAAAAAAUUAGAGUGUUCAAAGCAGGCUUACGCCGUUGAAUAUAUUAGCAUGGAAUAAUAAGAUAGGACCUUGGUACUAUUUUGUUGGUUUGCGCACCGAGGUAAUGAUUAACAGGGACAGUUGGGGGUAUUCGUAUUCCAUUGUCAGAGGUGAAAUUCUUGGAUUUCAGGAAGACGAACUACUGCGAAAGCAUUUACCAAGGAUGUUUUCAUUAA